rnacentral:lncRNA from 1 species
GAACGAGGGGGAGGUGGUCCCCUUUUCAUCAGGAUUUUCUGGCUGUCCUUGGCCAGACGCAGAGCUCUAGGGCUCCAGCCGCUUCCGAGCUGCCUUCAAUGCCAGGUACCCCCGAUCCAGGACCAGCGCCGUCUGGGCACCAGCGGUUCCCAUGACGACAGCCGACUACGCGGCCCGGGACAGCCCGGGCGCGGGUGGCUGCGCUCACCUGCGGGUGCGGGCUGGGGAGAACCGAGCUGUCCCCGCCCGAAGCUUGGGUGCGGAUGGAAACACCCUCGGGGCUGCGGGCGGAAACAAAGCGUCUACCCGCUGGGGCCGACGACCCGGCUCGGGAGAGGAGCUCGGUCAACGCUCGGGGUCGCCGUCCAGCCCCGCUUCUCCUCAGCAGGCUGGGCGCGCCUCUACCGCCCCCGUCAAUCGCAAGAACGUGGGCGGACCGAGAACGCCACGCCGCCCAGCCCGAAGAAUGACCUUGGGAGGGAAGUUACCUGCGCUCCGGAGCCGAGGUGCGGCCACAGCCAAAGAGGCCGAGGCGGAGAGGAGCAGGGUUGGCUUCUCCCGGGGCGCGGACGCGGCUCCGGGAUCUCUGCUCCGCUGGGUUACGGGCGCGAUGACUGGAGUCUCGGGGACCCCGGCUCCGCUCUCUGCUGCCGCCCACCUGUGACCACAGCCGGCCGCCGCCCGGGCGGUGCUCCCGCCUCCCCGCGGCGUCCCCGCCGCCCCCGGGCCGGCGGGGUUCAGUGCCGCAGGUCCGUGAGCUUCCGGGUGCCCCGCCCCCGGCGCCGGGGAUCCCCGCCCGCUCGCACGUGCGAAGGCCCCCCCUGCCCUAGCGAGGCCCCUCCCCGGCCCGCGGCCCGGGCGCCCGGGGGCGCAGAGGAGCCGAGCUCGGGCUCCCGGAGCCGGUCCAGGCGGUCGGGCCCCGGGCUGGCCCCGCACCUCCGCCCCACCCCGCCCGGCCCCGCGGGUGCCUGCGGGCGGUGCGUGGGCGGGGCAGCCUCGGGAGCCUCGGGUCGGGGAAGGCGCGGAGGCGGAAAUACGGGAAACCCCGGAGCCGGGAGGGUUUCCGAAGUACAGGAGAGCCGUGGGUCGGCCAGUCUCACUGAGACUACAGCAACAGGCGUUGGUGGAGCUCUCCACCGCGAAUUGUUACCGAUGUACCGCCCCCAAAUUCGCUAA